rnacentral:rRNA from 1 species
GCGGCUACUGCUAUCAGGUUUCGACUAAGCCAUGCGAGUCAAGGGGUCGUAAGACACCGGCGUACUGCUCAGUAACACGCGGACAAUCUACCCCCAGGUGGAGGAUAACCUCGGGAAACUGAGGCUAAUACCCCAUAGUUGUCAUGUGCUGGAAUGCUUUGACGAUGAAAGAAUUUCGCCUGAGGAUGAGUCUGCGGCCUAUCAGGUAGUAUGUGGUGUAAAGGACCACAUAGCCUAAGACGGGUACGGGCCUUGAAAGAGGGAGCCCGGAGAUGGACUCUGAGACACUAGUCCAGGCCCUACGGGGCGCAGCAGGCGCGAAAACUGUGCAAUGCGCGCAAGCGCGACACGGGAAGCCUGAGUGCCUUGACUAUGUUAAGGCUUUUCUUGAUCCUAAAAAGCUCAAGGAAUAAGAGCUGGGUAAGACGGGUGCCAGCCGCCGCGGUAACACCCGCGGCUCGAGUGGUAGUCACUUUUAUUGAGCCUAAAGCGUUUGUAGCCGGAUUUGUAAAUCUCUAGGAAAAUACCUCUGCUUAACUGAAGAAAUUUUGGAGAGACUGCAAAUCUAGGGACCGGGUGAGGUUGAAUGUACUUCUGGGGUAGGGGUAAAAUCCUGUAAUCCUGGAAGGACGACCGGUGGCGAAGGCGUUCAACUAGAACGGAUCCGACGGUGAGGAACGAAGGCUAGGGGAGCAAACCGGAUUAGAUACCCGGGUAGUCCUAGCUGUAAACACUGCCCACUUGGUGUUGCAUCUCCGGUAAGGGGGUGCAGUGCCGUAGCGAAGGUGUUAAGUGGGCCGCUUGGGGAGUAUGGUCGCAAGGCUGAAACUUAA